rnacentral:tRNA from 1 species
GGGAAGAUGGCUCAGUGGUAGAGCGCUUGCCUUGAAUGCAUGAGGCCCUGGGUUCGAUUCCCCAGUACCA